AAAAAGGGUCAACAGGUGGAGGACAAUAGACCAUUGGAACAGCUUUCUUCCAUCUCAGAAUCAUCUAGGAUUACCUUUUAUUACCCAUCAAUAAUUGUAAUUCAAAUGGAUGGACUCAUUGGCAAUACGUUCCAUUCCAUCAACCACACUACUUUGAGAGAACAGCAGAGUCCAAGCCAAGCACAGCACACGGAACCGACAACACCCCUAAUCAUAACUAAGCUUCACCUGACUCAUUAAGGUGAGCUGAUAAUCUAGCUAGAUAAACCUAAGCCAACCCGCUCGCC
rnacentral:lncRNA from 1 species